UUAUUUAUUUUAUUAUAAUUAUUUUUUGUUAUUUUAUUUUUUAAUAAAAGAAAUUUUAUUUAUUAAUUUGGUUUUAGUAUAUUUUGUAGAAUUGAUUUUUAAAAUUAUAGUUAAUUAGUAAUGUAAUUGGAUUAUGAAAUAAGUAUUUCAUUUUUAGAAAGUAAAUUUAAAUUAUUGUACCUUUUGUAUCAGGGUUUAUUAAAUUUUUAGUAUUUAUUUACUAUUCUCGAUUUAGGUUGAUUUACAAUUAACUCAUAGUUAAUGUGUCAUAAUUAUUUUUGAGUUAAUUUUAGAAAUGAAAUGUUAAUCGUUUCCUAAGAUAUCUAGUUUCUUAAGAAAAAAUUUAAUUUUUUAAAGUUAUUAGUUUUUAUUUACUUUUAUAUGUAAAAAUAUUAACUUAUUAAUACUUUAGGGGAUAAGCUCUAGAGUUUAUCUAUAAUUUUAUUAAUUUUAAUUUAAUAGUAAGCUUUAAAUCAGCUAUCUUUUUGAUUACGUUUUAGUUCAUUAUUUUUUAGGUUGAUUUUAUAAUUAUUUUAGGUUUUAUAUUAAGAUUAUUAAUUUAGUUUUAAAGAUUUAAAGUGAGUAUAUUAGUAUAUAAUUUGUUUGUUUUAAAUAAAUUUUGGAGAAUUAAUGAGAUUUAUUGAAGGGGUGAUGAGUGUAAGGAAUUCGGCAAAUAGGGCUCUUCCGCCUGUUUAUCAAAAACAUGUCUGUAUGAGAGUUAUAUAAAGUCUGACCUGCCCAUUGGGGACUAAAAGGCCGCGGUAUUUUGACCGUGCGAAGGUAGCAUAAUCAUUAGUCUUUUAAUUGGAGGCUGGAAUGAAUGGUUGGACGAGAAGGAAGCUGUCUCUAUCUCGGAGAUUGAAUUUAACUUUUAAGUGAAAAGGCUUAAAUAAGUUAGAGGGACGAUAAGACCCUAUAAAGUUUAUACAUGAAGUUGGUUAAGAGUGAUUUAAGGUGUUAAAGUUUAUUAUCAGCAGGGUGUUUAGUUGGGGCGACUAGGAUAUAAAUUAUAUAACUGUUUUUUGUUUAAAUCAGAGAUAUUUGUUCAUAUGAUCCCUUUUUAGGAUUAGAGAAUAAAUUACUUUAGGGAUAACAGCGUAUCCAUAAUUUAUGAUCAUAAGAUUAAGUUACCUUAGGGAUAACAGCGUAAUUGUUUUUGAGAGCUCAUAUUGACAAAGCAGAUUGCGACCUCGAUGUUGGAUUAAGAAUAAUUUUGGGUGCAGGAGCCCAAUGAUUAGGUCUGUUCGACCUUUAAAUUCUUACAUGAUCUGAGUUCAGACCGGCGUGAGCCAGGUCGGUUUCUAUCUUAAGUUUAAAUUAUUUAUAUUAGUACGAAAGGACCAUGUAAAUAAAAUAUUUUUUAUUUAUUGAUUUAAAUUAAUAUUU
rnacentral:rRNA from 1 species